GACAGAGGUGCCAAGCGUUAGGCGGAAUCACUGGGCUUAAAGCGUGUGUAGGCGGACGGGUAAGUACCUUGUGAAAUCCCACGGCUCAACCGUGGAACUGCUCGGUAUACUGCCCGUCUUGAGCCACUCAGGGGUCGUCGGAACAAGCGGUGGAGCGGUGAAAUGCGUAGAUAUCAGGAGGAACACCGAUUGCGAAGGCAGCUCGCUGGAACGUUACUGACGCUGAGACGCGAAAGCGUGGGGAGCAAACAGG
rnacentral:rRNA from 1 species